rnacentral:rRNA from 1 species
GACGAACGCUGUCGGCGUGCUUAACACAUGCAAGUCGAACGGAAAGGCCCUGCUUUUGUGGGGUGCUCGAGUGGCGAACGGGUGAGUAACACGUGAGUAACCUGCCCUUGACUUUGGGAUAACUUCAGGAAACUGGGGCUAAUACCGGAUAGGAGCUCCUGCUGCAUGGUGGGGGUUGGAAAGUUUCGGCGGUUGGGGAUGGACUCGCGGCUUAUCAGCUUGUUGGUGGGGUAGUGGCUUACCAAGGCUUUGACGGGUAGCCGGCCUGAGAGGGUGACCGGCCACAUUGGGACUGAGAUACGGCCCAGACUCCUACGGGAGGCAGCAGUGGGGAAUAUUGCACAAUGGGCGGAAGCCUGAUGCAGCAACGCCGCGUGCGGGAUGACGGCCUUCGGGUUGUAAACCGCUUUCGCCUGUGACGAAGCGUGAGUGACGGUAAUGGGUAAAGAAGCACCGGCUAACUACGUGCCAGCAGCCGCGGUGAUACGUAGGGUGCGAGCGUUGUCCGGAUUUAUUGGGCGUAAAGGGCUCGUAGGUGGUUGAUCGCGUCGGAAGUGUAAUCUUGGGGCUUAACCCUGAGCGUGCCUUCGAUACGGGUUGACUUGAGGAAGGUAGGGGAGAAUGGAAUUCCUGGUGGAGCGGUGGAAUGCGCAGAUAUCAGGAGGAACACCAGUGGCGAAGGCGGUUCUCUGGGCCUUUCCUGACGCUGAGGAGCGAAAGCGUGGGGAGCGAACAGGCUUAGAUACCCUGGUAGUCCACGCUGUAAACGGUGGGUACUAGGUGUGGGGUCCAUUCCACGGGUUCCGUGCCGUAGCUAACGCUUUAAGUACCCCGCCUGGGGAGUACGGCCGCAAGGCUAAAACUCAAAGGAAUUGACGGGGCCCCGCACAAGCGGCGGAGCAUGCGGAUUAAUUCGAUGCAACGCGUAGAACCUUACCUGGGUUUGACAUGGAUCGGGAGUGCUCAGAGAUGGGUGUGCCUCUUUUGGGGUCGGUUCACAGGUGGUGCAUGGCUGUCGUCAGCUCGUGUCGUGAGAUGUUGGGUUAAGUCCCGCAACGAGCGCAACCCUUGUUCACUGUUGCCAGCACGUUAUGGUGGGGACUCAGUGGAGACCGCCGGGGUCAACUCGGAGGAAGGUGGGGAUGACGUCAAGUCAUCAUGCCCCUUAUGUCCAGGGCUUCACGCAUGCUACAAUGGCUGGUACAGAGAGUGGCGAGCCUGUGAGGGUGAGCGAAUCUCGGAAAGCCGGUCUCAGUUCGGAUUGGGGUCUGCAACUCGACCUCAUGAAGUCGGAGUCGCUAGUAGUCGCAGAUCAGCAACGCUGCGGUGAAUACGUUCCCGGGGCU